CUCUCGUUGCAGGAGGCGCCCAGGCCCCGGGUUGAGACAGGCGGCCUCAGACAGGCCGGGUAUUAAUGUGGCUAAUUAUGUGGAUUGCUUCACUGGGAGAUGGCAGAUAGGAUCAGGCUCUGGGAGUCCUUGUGGGAAGGUGCUGUGGGACCCAGCCCUCAGUGUGCUCAUCCAUGUGCUGUCUGGGAAAACCGAGGUGACCUGGCCAGUUCCUGAGGUGGCUGGUCCCUCACAGUUGCUGCCUUGUGACGGUCUGUGUCUCCAGGAGGAUCCUCACAGCUGCUGCCUGUGACAGUCCGCGUCUCCAGGAGGAUCUUGGCGUGGCUGGAGAGGGCGAGAUGGGCCUCUGGGGAGGGGAAGCUCUGGGGCCAGGUAGAGUGGCUGCUGACAGAUGGCUUGAUAAUGAUCAAAAGGUGCACCUCCCAGGUGCUCAAAGCCCAGGGAACCUUCUAGUCAAAGAUAGCAGAAUUGAGAUGUGAGCAAACCCAGCCCAGCAGCAAGUCCAGCGUGGCGUGGUCAGCCAAGCAGAAAUGAGGCAAAACUCUGGAAAGAAUCGUCUCAGAAAACCAAGUGCUGUGUCUCCUACCUAUUUAAAGAUCUGUCUCCCAGUUCUUGUAAACACUCAUAACUGGCAAGCAUUUGCUGUGUUUACGUAUGUUAAAAGCUUUUUACAAAUUCUGAGAGGACA